rnacentral:rRNA from 1 species
GAUGAACGCUGGCGGCGUGCCUAACACAUGCAAGUCGAACGGCAAGACAGUGAGCUUGUUCUUUUCCCGUUAGCGGCUGGCGGGCGUGUAACGCGUGCAUCCUACUCUUCUUUUUCUGGGAUGAUCACGGAAAACCGGUUCCAAUACUGCAUCAUAUGCUGUACCGCUUGGUGCAAUGGAUAUUCUCGCCUUUCGUGUCUCUAUUAGCCGCUUCCGCGCCGGAUUAGCUAGUUGGUAAGGUAACAGCUUACCAAGGCGACGAUGCGUAGCCGAUCUGAGAGGAUGAUCGGCCACACUGGAACUGAGACACGGUCCAGACUCCUACGGGAGGCAGCAGUAGGGAAUCUUGGGCAAUGGGCGCAAGCCUGACGCAGCGACACCGCGUGAGUGAAGAAGGCCUUCGGGUCGUAAAGCUCUGUUGUUGGGAAAGAACAGAUGUAUGAGAAAACAUAGCGGUAUUGACGGUACCUAAUGAAAAAGCAACGGCUAACUACGUG